rnacentral:rRNA from 1 species
UACGUAGGCAGCAAGCGUUGUCCGGAAUUACUGGGCGUAAAGAGCUCGUAGGCGGUUUGUCACGUCAUCUGUGAAAACCCGAGGCUUAACCUCGGGCCUGCAGGCGAUACGGGCAGACUUGAGUACUGUAGGGGAGACUGGAAUUCCUGGUGUAGCGGUGGAAUGCGCAGAUAUCAGGAGGAACACCGGUGGCGAAGGCGGGUCUCUGGGCAGUAACUGACGCUGAGGAGCGAAAGCAUGGGGAGCGAACAGG